AUUGAACGCUGGCGGCAGGCCUAACACAUGCAAGUCGAGCGGAUGAAGGGAGCUUGCUCCUGGAUUCAGCGGCGGACGGGUGAGUAAUGCCUAGGAAUCUGCCUGGUAGUGGGGGAUAACGUCCGGAAACGGGCGCUAAUACCGCAUACGUCCUGAGGGAGAAAGUGGGGGAUCUUCGGACCUCACGCUAUCAGAUGAGCCUAGGUCGGAUUAGCUAGUUGGUGGGGUAAAGGCCUACCAAGGCGACGAUCCGUAACUGGUCUGAGUGGAUGAUCAGUCACACUGAAACUGAGACACGGUCCAGACUCCUACGGAAGGCAGCAGUGGGGAAUAUUGGACAAUGGGCGAAAGCCUGAUCCAGCCAGGCCGCGUGUGUGAAGAAGGUCUUCGGAUUGUAAAGCACUUUAAGUUGGGAGAAAGGGCAGUAAGUUAAUACCUUGCUGUUUUGACGUAACCAACAGAAUAAGCACCGGCUAACUCCGU
rnacentral:rRNA from 1 species